rnacentral:rRNA from 1 species
UACGUAGGGGGCUAGCGUUGUCCGGAGUUACUGGGCGUAAAGGGCGCGCAGGCGGCGUUGUUGGCCCGGCGUGAAAGCCCCCGGCUCAACCGGGGAGGGUCGUCGGGGACCGCACCGCUUGAGGGCGGUAGGGGCUGGUGGAAUGCCUGGUGUAGUGGUGAAAUGCGUAGAGAUCAGGCGGAACACCCGUAGCGAAGGCGGCCAGCUGGGCCGUCCCUGACACUGAGGCGCGAAGGCGUGGGGAGCGAACGGG